rnacentral:rRNA from 1 species
AGAGUUUGAUCCUGGCUCAGGAUGAACGCUAGCUACAGGCUUAACACAUGCAAGUCGAGGGGAAACGACAUCGAAAGCUUGCUUUUGAUGGGCGUCGACCGGCGCACGGGUGAGUAACGCGUAUCCAACCUGCCCACCACUUGGGGAUAACCUUGCGAAAGUAAGACUAAUACCCAAUGACGUCUCUAGAAGACAUCUGAAGGAGAUUAAAGAUUUUAUCGGUGAUGGAUGGGGAUGCGUCUGAUUAGUCUUGUUGGCGGGGUAACGGCCGACCAAGGCGACGAUCAGUGGGUUCUGAGAGGAACGGUCCCCGACAGUUGGAACGUGAGACACGGUACCAAACUCCGUAACGGGGAGCGA